rnacentral:piRNA from 1 species
UUUUUUUUUUUGAGGUAGGGUUUCUCU